GCGGCAUGCCUAACACAUGCAAGUCGAACGCGAAACCCCUUCGGGGGGAGUAGAGUGGCGGACGGGUGAGUAAUGUGUGGGAAUCUGCCCUGCAGCGGGGGAUAACCCGGGGAAACUCGGGCUAAUACCGCAUACGACCUACGGGUGAAAGGGGGCUUCGGCUCUCACUGCAGGAUGAGCCCACAUCCGAUUAGCUUGUUGGUGAGGUAACGGCUCACCAAGGCGACGAUCGGUAGCUGGUCUGAGAGGAUGAUCAGCCACACUGGGACUGAGACACGGCCCAGACUCCUACGGGAGGCAGCAGUGGGGAAUAUUGGACAAUGGGCGAAAGCCUGAUCCAGCAAUGCCGCGUGUGUGAAGAAGGCCUGCGGGUUGUAAAGCACUUUCAGCGAGGAAGAAAAGCCUGUGGUUAAUACCCAUGGGUCUUGACGUUACUCGCAGAAGAAGCACCGGCUAACUCCGUGCCAGCAGCCGCGGUAAUACCGAGGGUGCAAGCGUUAAUCUGAAUCACUGGGCGUAAAGCGCACGUAGGCGGCGAGGUCAGUCAGAUGUGAAAGCCCCGGGCUUAACCUGGGAACUGCAUUUGAUACUGCCUGGCUAGAGUUUGAUAGAGGGGGGUGGAAUUCCAGGUGUAGCGGUGAAAUGCGU
rnacentral:rRNA from 1 species